rnacentral:rRNA from 1 species
CCUACGGGGGGCAGCAGUGGGGAAUAUUGCACAAUGGGCGCAAGCCUGAUGCAGCCAUGCCGCGUGUGUGAAGAAGGCCUUCGGGUUGUAAAGCACUUUCAGCGGGGAGGAAGGCGGUGAGGUUAAUAACCUCAUCGAUUGACGUUACCCGCAGAAGAAGCACCGGCUAACUCCGUGCCAGCAGCCGCGGUAAUACGGAGGGUGCAAGCGUUAAUCGGAAUUACUGGGCGUAAAGCGCACGCAGGCGGUCUGUCAAGUCGGAUGUGAAAUCCCCGGGCUCAACCUGGGAACUGCAUUCGAAACUGGCAGGCUAGAGUCUUGUAGAGGGGGGUAGAAUUCCAGGUGUAGCGGUGAAAUGCGUAGAGAUCUGGAGGAAUACCGGUGGCGAAGGCGGCCCCCUGGACAGAGACUGACGCUCAGGUGCGAAAGCGUGGGGAGCAAACAGGAUUAGAUACCCCAGUAGUC